GGGGUUGUGGCUCAGUGGUAGAGCACUUGCCUAAUAUGUAUGAGGCACUGGGUUCAAUCCUCAGCAGAUCUG
rnacentral:tRNA from 1 species